rnacentral:rRNA from 1 species
GACGAACGCUGGCGGCGUGCUUAACACAUGCAAGUCGAGCGGUAAGGCCCUUUCGGGGGUACACGAGCGGCGAACGGGUGAGUAACACGUGGGUGACCUGCCCUCAGCUCUGGGAUAAGCCUGGGAAACCGGGUCUAAUACUGGAUAUGACUCCAUGACGCAUGUUGUGGGGUGGAAAGCCUUGUGCGGCUGAGGAUGGGCCCGCGGCCUAUCAGCUUGUUGGUGGGGUGANGGCCUACCAAGGCGACGACGGGUAGCCGGCCUGAGAGGGCGACCGGCCACACUGGGACUGAGACACGGCCCAGACUCCUACGGGAGGCAGCAGUGGGGAAUCUUGCGCAAUGGGCGAAAGCCUGACGCAGCGACGCCGCGUG